rnacentral:rRNA from 1 species
GCAUAUCAAUAAGCGGAGGAAAAGAAACCAACAGGGAUUGCCUUAGUAACGGCGAGUGAAGCGGCAAAAGCUCAAAUUUGAAAUCUAGCACUUUCAGUGUUCGAGUUGUAAUUUGAAGAAGGUAACUUUGGAAUUGGCUCUUGUCUAUGUUCCUUGGAACAGGACGUCACAGAGGGUGAGAAUCCCGUGCGAUGAGAUGUCCAAUUCUAUGUAAAGUGCUUUCGAAGAGUCGAGUUGUUUGGGAAUGCAGCUCUAAGUGGGUGGUAAAUUCCAUCUAAAGCUAAAUAUUGGCGAGAGACCGAUAGCGAACAAGUACAGUGAUGGAAAGAUGAAAAGAACUUUGAAAAGAGAGUGAAAAAGUACGUGAAAUUGUUGAAAGGGAAGGGCUUGAGAUCAGACUUGGUAUUUUGUGUUCCUUAUUCUUUUUGGAUUUGGUUCCUCACAGCUUACCGGGCCAGCAUCGGUUUGGAUGGUAGGAUAAUGACAUUGGAAUGUAGCUUUGCUUCGGUGAAGUGUUAUAGACUUUGUUGAUACUGCCUAUCUAGACCGAGGACUGCGUC